rnacentral:rRNA from 1 species
AGCGAACGCUGGCGGCAGGCCUAACACAUGCAAGUCGAACGAACCUUUCGGGGUUAGUGGCGGACGGGUGAGUAACACGUGGGAACGUGCCUUUAGGUUCGGCAUAACUCAGGGAAACUUGUGCUAAUACCGAAUGUGCCCUUCGGGGGAAAGAUUUAUCGCCUUUAGAGCGGCCCGCGUCUGAUUAGCUAGUUGGUUGAGGUAAUGGCUCACCAAGGCGACGAUCAGUAGCUGGUCUGAGAGGAUGAUCAGCCACAUUGGGACUGAGACACGGCCCAAACUCCUACGGGAGGCAGCAGUGGGGGAUCGUGCGCAAUGGGCGAAGGCCUGACGCAGCCAUGCCGCGUGAAUGAUGAAGGUCUUAGGAUUGUAAAAUUCUUUCACCGGGGACGAUAAUGACGGUACCCGGAGAAGAAGCCCCGGCUAACUUCGUG